GUCUCCUGUAGUUAAGUGGUAGAGCGUCCGACCGGUGUGCGGAAGGUCAUAGGUUCAACUCCUGUCAGUGUCC